rnacentral:rRNA from 1 species
AGCGAAUAGAUACCCCGGUAGUCCACGCCCUAAACGAUGGAUACUAGGCGUAAGAGGUAUCGACCCCUCUUGUGCCGCAGCUAAACGCAUUAAGUAUCCCGCCUAGGGAGUACGGCCGCAAGGUUGAAACUCAAAUGAAUUGACGGGGACCCGCACAAGCGGUGGAGCAUGUGGAUUAAUUCGAUACUAACCGAAGAACCUUACCCAGACUUGACAUCGAUCGCAAGCCUUAGAAAUAGGGCCCUCCCCACAAGGGGACGUGAAGACACUUGUUGCAUGGCUGUCGUCAGCUCGUGCCGUGAGGUGUACGGUUAAGUCCGCCAACGAGCGCAACCCUCGUCCUGUGUUACCAGCAUGAAAGAUGGGAACUCACAGGAGACCGCCGGUGUAAAUCGGAGGAAGGUGGGGAUGACGUCAAGUCAGCAUGGCAGUUACGUCUGGGGCUUCACACAUGCUACAAUGGGCGAAACAGAGGGCCGCAAUACCGUGAGGUGGAGCAAAUCCCAAAAAUACGCCCCAGUUCAGAUUGCAGUCUGC